AACGAACGCUGGCGGCGCGCCUAAUACAUGCAAGUCGAACGAGAAGCUGUAGCAAUACAGUUGUACAGUGGCGAACGGGUGAGGAAUACAUGGGUGACCUACCCUCGAGUGGGGAAUAACCAGCCGAAAGGUUGGCUAAUACCGCGUACGCUUCCCAGUCUACGGGUUGGGAAGGAAAGCGAUGCCGUGGGUAUCGCGCUCAAGGUUGGGCUCAUGUCCUAUCAGCUUGUUGGNGGGUAACGGCUCACCAAGGCAACGACGGGUAGCUGGUCUGAGAGGACGAUCAGCCACACUGGCACUGCGACACGGGCCAGACUCCUACGGAGGCAGCAGUAAGGAAUAUUGCGCAAUGGGCGAAAGCC
rnacentral:rRNA from 1 species